GAGGGUGGGCCCCUCGGCUCGGCAUACAGGUGCCGAAGCCAAACCACCACUAAGUUGCUGUGGUAAAGAGCCACGGUGGCGAGCGUUAGUGGAAAAGG
rnacentral:ncRNA from 1 species